rnacentral:rRNA from 1 species
GACAGAGGAUGCAAGCGUUAUCCGGAAUGAUUGGGCGUAAAGCGUCUGUAGGUGGCUUUUUAAGUCCGCCGUCAAAUCCCAGGGCUCAACCCUGGGCAGGCGGUGGAAACUACCAAGCUGGAGUACGGUAGGGGCAGAGGGAAUUUCCGGUGGAGCGGUGAAAUGCGCAGAUAUCAGGAGGAACACCGGUGGCGAAGGCGGGUCUCUGGGCAACAACUGACGCUGAGGAGCGAAAGCGUGGGGAGCGAACAGG